UACGUAGGGUCCGAGCGUUGUCCGGAAUUACUGGGCGUAAAGAGCUCGUAGGUGGUUUGUCGCGUUGUUCGUGAAAACUCACAGCUCAACUGUGGGCGUGCGGGCGAUACGGGCAGACUUGAGUACUGCAGGGGAGACUGGAAUUCCUGGUGUAGCGGUGGAAUGCGCAGAUAUCAGGAGGAACACCGGUGGCGAAGGCGGGUCUCUGGGCAACUACUGACGCUGAGGAGCGAAAGCGUGGGGAGCGAACAGG
rnacentral:rRNA from 1 species